UGAAUUUAAGCAUAUUAAUAAGCGGAGGAAAAGAAACCAACCGGGAUUCCCCGAGUAAGGGCGACUGAAACGGGACCAGCCCAGCGCAUAACCUCGCGGCCGGUCACGGCCGUCGAGGGGUGUUGCGUACAGGUGGGUCCGCACCGCCCGUGCCACCUACCGCUUAAGUCGUUGCUUAAAAGCAGCCCACAGCAGGGUGAAAGGCCCGUGUGGCGGCGCCUGUGAAAAGGGUUUAGGCGGCGCGGGCGGAGGGACCUUCACCGGAGAGUCGGGUUGCUUAGUACUGCAGCCCAAAGCAGGUGGUAAACUCCAUCUAAGGCUAAAU
rnacentral:rRNA from 1 species